rnacentral:rRNA from 1 species
ACUCCUACGGGAGGCAGCAGUGGGGAAUAUUGCACAAUGGGCGCAAGCCUGAUGCAGCCAUGCCGCGUGUGUGAAGAAGGCCUUCGGGUUGUAAAGCACUUUCAGUCGUGAGGAAGGUAGUGUAGUUAAUAGCUGCAUUAUUUGACGUUACUGACAGANAGACACGCGUAACUCCGUGCCAGCAGCCGCGGUAAUACGGAGGGUGCGAGCGUUAAUCGGAAUUACUGGGCGUAAAGCGCAUGCAGGCGGCCUGUUAAGUCAGAUGUGAAAGCCCGGGGCUUAACCUCGGAAUUGCAUUUGAAACUGGCAGGCUAGAGUCUUGUAGAGGGGGGUAGAAUUUCAGGGUGUAGCGGUGAAAUGCAGUAG